GUUGUAUGGUUAAGUGACUAAGCGUACACGGUGGAUGCCUUGGCAGUUGGAGGCGAUGAAGGACGUAUUAACUUGCGAUAAGCCUAGUCAAGCUAGUAAAAAGCGCUUGAGACUAGGAUUUCCGAAUGGGGAAACCCACCUGCUUGCAGGUAUCUUGCACUGAAUACAUAGGUGUAAGAGGCGAACGCGGAGAACUGAAACAUCUAAGUACCCGUAGGAACAGAAAUCAACCGAGAUUCCGGAAGUAGCGGCGAGCGAAACCGGACCAGCCCUUAAGCUUAUUAUGUGUUAGUGGAACAUUCUGGAAAGUUUGACGAUACAGGGUGAUAGUCCCGUACACGAAAAUGCAUCUUAAGUGAAAUCGAGUAGGUCGGAGCACGUGAAACUUUGACUGAAUAUAGGUGGACCAUCAUCUAAGGCUAAAUACUCCCAACUGACCGAUAGUGAACCAGUACCGUGAGGGAAAGGCGAAAAGAACCCCUGUGAGGGGAGUGAAAUAGAACCUGAAACCGUGUACGUACAAGCAGUAGGAGCCCUUCGAGGGUGACUGCGUACCUUUUGUAUAAUGGGUCAGCGACUUAUAUUUUGUAGCGAGGUUAACCGAUUAGGGUAGCCGUAGGGAAACCGAGUCUUAACUGGGCGUAUAGUUGCAAGGUAUAGACCCGAAACCCGGUGAUCUAGCCAUGGGCAGGUUGAAGGUUGAGUAACAUCAACUGGAGGACCGAACCCACUAACGUUGAAAAGUUAGGGGAUGACCUGUGGCUAGGAGUGAAAGGCUAAUCAAACCGGGAGAUAGCUGGUUCUCCCCGAAAUCUAUUUAGGUAGAGCCUCGGACGAAUACUUACGGGGGUAGAGCACUGUUAAGGCUAGGGGGUCAUCCCGACUUACCAACCCUUUGCAAACUCCGAAUACCGUAAAGUACUAUCCGGGAGACACACGGCGGGUGCUAACGUCCGUCGUGAAGAGGGAAACAACCCAGACCGCCAGCUAAGGUCCCAAAGUCAUAGUUAAGUGGGAAACGAUGUGGAAAGGCCCAGACAGCCAGGAGGUUGGCUUAGAAGCAGCCAUCCUUUAAAGAAAGCGUAAUAGCUCACUGGUCGAGUCGGUCUGCGCGGAAGAUGUAACGGGGCUAAACUAUGCACCGAAGCUGCGGAUUCAAAAUUUAUUUUGAGUGGUAGGGGAGCGUUCUGUAAGCCGUUGAAGGUGAACCGGGAGGUUUGCUGGAGGUAUCAGAAGUGCGAAUGCUGACAUGAGUAACGAUAAUGCGGGUGAAAAACCCGCACGCCGGAAGACCAAGGGUUCCUAUCCCAUGUUAAUCAGGGUAGGGUAAGUCGACCCCUAAGGCGAGGCCGAAAGGCGUAGUCGAUGGGAAACGGGUUAAUAUUCCCGUACUUGGUAUAAUUGCGAUGGGGGGACGGAGCAGGCUAAACAAGCAUGGCGUUGGUUGUCCAUGUGAAAGUGAGUAGGUUG
rnacentral:rRNA from 1 species